rnacentral:lncRNA from 1 species
UAGCAACAGUAGAGGUUUGGGCACCCAGAAAUCCCAAAGGUUCCACUGAGGAAAGAACUUCCUGAAGACUCUGCACUCUGUGAAGAUCAUCAAGAGGAGCGCAUGUGCUGUGCAUGGUGAUGGCUGCAUUUGGUGAGAGGUAGAUGAUCAGCAGAGAUAGGAUUUGUCUAAACGAGAGCUGACUUAGACCUUGGGCCACUCAGGAAUACCUGUGAAGAACCAUCUCCUGGCUUCUAACCUAGUCAGGGCAAAUUACUCCAAUACGAUAUAUGUGCCUUUGCACUGGAGUCACUUUAAUAACACAGAACACCGAUGCUUCCCCAUGGCUGGAAGUAUUGCUUCCAAAUCUAAUCACAUUAACUCCACUCACUCACUACAGCUUCCUCAUCCUAGCAACAUCUUUUAUCCCAAGGAGGCUUGUUUUCGAGCAGUCUUUUUGGCUUAAAGGCAAGAAUAGGAAUUGGAUGAGUUUCAAUUUCCCCCAGCCAGUGCACAUGUAGGACAGAUGGUGGAAAACCCACGUUGGCCUGAUUUUCAGAGGAACUAGUCCCUCAUGAGAUCAUCAAUCAGUUACUAACAAUCAAAAAACACCCAUAAAUCAUACAUUAUGUUUUGCAGUUUACAGAGCUGUUCUAUAGACAUCAGUGGUUUCUAAUCCAGGAUUCCCAUUACAGUCCAAGGAGUGUCUUAAAAUUUCUUUUCUUUACUUUCUUUUUUUUUUUUUGAGACAGAAUCUUGUUCUGACACCCAGGCAGGAGUGCAGUGACACGAUUUCAGCUCACUGCAGCCUCUGCCUCCCAGGUUCAAGUGAUUCCCCUGCCUUAGUCACCAGAGUAGCUGAGAUUACAGAUCUGCACCAUCACGCCUGGCUAAUUUUUGUAUUUUC